UACAGAGGGCUCAAGCGUUGUUCGGAUUCAUUGGGCGUAAAGGGUGCGUAGGUGGCUCCGUAAGUCGGGUGUGAAAUUUCGGAGCUUAACUCCGAAACUGCAUUCGAUACUGCCGUGCUUGGGGACUGGAGAGGAGACUGGAAUUUACGGUGUAGCGGUGAAAUGCGUAGAUAUCGUAAGGAAGACCAGUGGCGAAGGCGGGGCUCUGGACAGUUCCUGACGCUGAGGCACGAAGGCCAGGGGAGCAAACGGG
rnacentral:rRNA from 1 species